AUGAACGCUGGCGGCGUGCCUAAUACAUGCAAGUCGAGCGAACGGACGAGAAGCUUGCUUCUCUGAUGUUAGCGGCGGACGGGUGAGUAACACGUGGAUAACCUACCUAUAAGACUGGGAUAACUUCGGGAAACCGGAGCUAAUACCGGAUGAUAUUUUGAACCGCAUGGUUCAAAAGUGAAAGACGGUCUUGCUGUCACUUAUAGAUGGAUCCGCGCUGCAUUAGCUAGUUGGUAAGGUAACGGCUUACCAAGGCAACGAUGCAUAGCCGACCUGAGAGGGUGAUCGGCCACACUGGAACUGAGACACGGUCCAGACUCCUACGGGAGGCAGCAGUAGGGAAUCUUCCGCAAAGGGCGAAAGCCUGACGGAGCAACGCCGCGUGAGUGAUGAAGGUCUUCGGAUCGUAAAACCCUGUUAUUAGGGAAGAACAUAUGUGUAAGUAACUGUGCACAUCUUGACGGUACCUAAUCAGAAAGCCACGGCUAACUACGUG
rnacentral:rRNA from 1 species